UGAUCAUGGAAAAUAGCGAUAGUGGUGAUUUUCUGUCUGUCAGUACAUUCAAUCCACCAUAUUGUAAAACAAACCCAGCUUUUUCAGUGUCUUACAAAUCACUCAACUCACAUGUAAUGAAAAUUAUACACCAACAGAGUCUCCUGAUAAACAGUUAGAGACAGAGGAUGUGCCAAACCCCAAAGAAACUUUCACCACCCACAAAAAUUACUGCUACGUCUGCAAGAAACCUCAGUCUAAAAUUUCACGUCACUUCAAACAGCAUCAAAACAGUGAGAUGGAAAUUGCUGCUGCAUUCUCUCUCCCUAAACACUCCAAGGACAGAAAACAGUUACUUGAGAAGCUACGAAACAGAGGCAACUACCAACACAAUCAAGAGGUUAUAGAAAGAAAAAGAGGACCACUGAAAAUUAGGAGGCGCACAGGAAGAUCAGAAAUCGAGCUGAGUGCCAAAACAUUUGUGCAUUGUGUAUACUGUAAAGGCCUGUUUGUUCGCAAGGAGCUGUGGCGCCAUACACGGAGAUGCCCUUCAAAGGUGUCUGAAGCAACUGGCAAGGCCAAAGUAUUAGAUUUGGCUGAUAUUGCAGAGUCAACAUUCUCCCAACCAAUAUCUCCUGAGGUGUGGAAGAUCUUGGGAAAUAUGAAGAAUGAUGACAUUUCAUCAGUAGUUCGAAAUGAUUUCCUCAUACUUCAGUUGAGUCAAUGUCUUUACAACAAGCAUGGCAGUGAUCCAUCAAAAUCAGAAUACAUCAGACAGAAGGCUCGAGAAAUGGGCAGACUCUUGCUAAGAUUGAGAAGAAAAUACUCAAUGUAUAGCUUUGAAGAUGCUGUGAAACCGAACCAUUUUUACAAAGUCCUUGAGGCUGUGAAAGAUGUUGCUGGUUACGAUGAAAAGAGCCAUUUGUAUAAGACGCCAAAUCUUGCACUGAAGUUAGGACAUUCACUUAACAAGAUUGGUGACGUUAUUCUCUGCAGGGCCAUCGCAGUAGAGGAUGAUGUUAUGACAAAAGCAGCAGAGCAAUUCAAAAGACUGUGCUCAAGUGAAUGGGCAGGACAUGUCUCGCAUGCUGCUCUUGCUACUUUGAACAAAUCAAAGUUCAGCAAACCAUCUACUUUACCAUUCACACAGGACGUGCAGCUUCUCCACCAGUACCUAGAAAAGAAAUCAGUUGAAGCUUCUGAAAGCCUAAAAAAUCACGAGUCUUCACAGACAUAUGCAGAACUUGCCAAAGUGGCACUUGCACAAGUAAUAAUAUUCAACAGGCGUUGUGUAGGAGAAGUUUCAAAAAUGACGCUCGAGUGCUUUAAGAAAAGAAACCAGACUGAGCUCCACAAGGACAUAGCUCUCGGUCUCUCUCCAUUUGAACAAAAAAUGUCCAAGCAUUUCAGCAGAGUAGAAAUCAUGGGCAAGAAAGGG
rnacentral:lncRNA from 1 species